ACACAAACAAAUAAUUGGUUGUCCGUUGUAGGCGCCAGGUACGAAAGGUGAUAUUCGAUGAUAGUUUUGUAAAUGUGGUCGUACGUUUUCUAUUUUGGAAAGUGAUUUGUUGGUGGUGAAUUAAAACAAAAUUUUCGGGAUAUUACUUUUUUGUCAACACUAUUGGCAUCGUUAUAAUAUUAUCUCUUGUUAAAAAUACCAACGUGUACAUGUGUGAUUUCUAAAAUUUAUGUGACAUUUACGAAUCGGCGACGUCGUAUCUGAGCAUUAGACUAUGUCGGACACGGAUGACGAAAGUUUGGACGUAACAUCAAGUAAAUUUGAUCCUUUAAAAGCCCUGUACGCUCCGAAGUUGCCACUCACUGUGCCAAAUGCACCUAUAUACGACAAUGUGUCUAAAUUUUAUUCGACGAAGCUUGCCCCAAAGAGAGAGCCAUCAAGGAAGAAGGUGCCAAAAGAAACAGAGCCUUCUACAUCAGGGGAACGAAAAUUUUUACCUCAUCAAAUGCCAGUGUCAGCACCAAGAUUUAAACGACCAGGGCGGACUGUGUUAACACGAAUGGAGUCUGUGAAAGGGCCUCUGGCUGUGUUGAGAGAGUGCGUUAAUUCUCAAAUAAGGAUUAAGGUAGUUACGAGAAGUAUGAAUGGUAUCAGGGGUUACUGUGAGGCCUUUGUUGUUGCCUUUGACAGGCACUGGAAUCUGGCACUAAAGGAUAUACGUGAAGUUUGGACAAGAAAGAAGAAGGCUAAAGUACCUUCUAUUGGUUCUUGUGGUACACUGGUAGAAAGCACACCUGCAACAGGUCGGACUGUACUGGUUCUGAAAUCUGGCAAAAAAGAGGAGCUCCUUGAGCGACAUGUUCCGCAGUUACUCUUGAGGGGUGAACAUGUUGCCAUUAUUUCUGUUCUACGCUGAUUGAGCAUAAUUUACGUUUCAUGCAGCUCCUGCCCUCAAGACUGCACAAAGAAUGUCUGUAAAGACACUACUUGACUUUGGCAAACAGAUGACUCAUGGCAAACAGAUGACACUCAAUUGCUUGACUUUCAAAAUGGAUGCCCAUAUUGUUUAAAGUGUACAGGGAAAAACAAUCAAAGUCCACUUCUGGUAAGUUUGAGAUUCUGAUACCAAUGGAUUCUGUAUGUAUAAUAUUAUGUUCUAACAGCUUCAUACAUCUCUCGGUUAAGAAUACA